rnacentral:rRNA from 1 species
UACGUAGGGGCUAGCGUUGUCCGGAUUUACUGGGCGUAAAGAGCGCGCAGGCGGUCGUUCAAGUCGAGUGUGAAAGCCCCCGGCUCAACUGGGGAGGGUCACUCGAUACUGAUCGACUUGAAGGCAGGAGAGGGAAGCGGAAUUCCCGGUGUAGUGGCGAAAUGCGUAGAUAUCGGGAGGAACACCAGUGGCGAAGGCGGCUUCCUGGCCUGUUCUUGACGCUGAGGCGCGAAAGCGUGGGGAGCGAUCCGG